rnacentral:rRNA from 1 species
AGCGAACGUUUGCGGCGGGCUUAAUACAUGCAAGUCGAACGAGAAUCCCUUCGGGGAGGAAAGUGGCGCACGGGUGCGUAACACGUGGAUAACCAACCCAUUGGUUUGGGACAACACCGGGAAACUGGUGCUAAUACCAGAUGUGUCGCAGCUGUCUUCAGGCGGUUGCGAGAAAGGCCCGCAAGGGUCGCCAACGGACGGGUCCGCGUCCCAUCAGCUAGUUGGUGAGGUAAUGGCUCACCAAGGCAAAGACGGGUAGCUGGUCUGAGAGGAUGAUCAGCCACACUGGAACUGAGACACGGUCCAGACUCCUACGGGAGGCAGCAGUGGGGAAUAUUGCGCAAUGGGCGAAAGCCUGACGCAGCCACGCCGCGUGAGCGAUGAAGGUCUUCGGAUCGUAAAGCUCUGUGGGGGGAGAAGAAGAAAGCCGGUGAAGAGCCGGCCCUGACGGUAUCCCCUUAGCAAGCACCGGCUAACUCCGUGCCAGCAGCCGCGGUAAAGUAU